CAUCCAUCCCCACCUCUCUAGGUUAUUACAGAGCCCGAGUUUGAGUUCCCUGAGUCCUAACAGCAAAUUCCCACUGGUUGUCUAUUUACAAAUGUUGGUGUACAUGCAUCCAUGCUGCUCUCUCCAUUCAUGUCACCCUCUCUCUCUUGUUCCCCACCCUGGUCCGUGAGUCUGUCCUCUAUGUCUGCAUCUCCAGUGCUGCUAUGUGAACAGAUUCGUCAGACCCAUCCUUCUCGAUUCUAUGUUUUUCUUUUUCUGACUGACUUCCUGUUUAAUAUGCUCUCGGUUCAUCCCCUUCUUUAGAACGGACUCAAAUGUGUUCCUUUUUAUGGUUGCAUUCCAUCCAGGCUCUGACUGUUCCCUAGCCAUGUUUUGAGGAGGGUCAUGGAGCCAUUGUGCUCCAUUUCAGUUUGGGCUUCCAGUCUGAGUGCUCACAGCAGAGCUGCUUCUGGGUGAGCCCUCUGAGACUGCCCACAGUACUUCUUCAUUCCAUGUGGACUCCUUCAAGGACAGUGGAGCAUCACAGCUUCCCUUGAACUUCUCCUGGAAUAUAUAGGUGAACUAUAAAGAAAGCUGAGCACAGAAGAAUGGAUGCUUUUGAACUGUGGUGUUGGAGAAGACUCUUGAGAGUCCCUUGGACUGCAAGGAAAUCCAACCAGUCCAUCCUAAAGGAAAUCCGUUCUGGGUGUUCAUCGGAAGGACUGAUGUUGAAGCUGAAACUCCAAUUUUUGGAGAGCUGACUCAUUUGAAAAGACCCUGAUGUUGGGAAAGAUUGAAGACAGGAGGAGACGGGGACGACAGCGGAUGAGAUGGUUAGAUGGCACCAGCGACCCAAUGGUUACGAGUUUGGGUAAACUCUGGGAGUUGGUGUUGGACAGGGAGGCCUGGCGUGCUGCGGUUCAAUGGGGGUCGCAAAGAGUCAGACACGACCAAGCGAAUGAACAGAACUGAACUGAACUGAAAAACAAAUGCUGUUCAAGGACACUGAAAGAACCCUGAUGUUGAAAAUCAGAUCUGUAUUGUGAGCAAUGCUUAGAAAUCCAUGAGUUGACACAUAGUAUUAAGCCUAUCAUCCUUGUAGUUCCCUCAGUGAAAUAUGUUGCGAAAAGCUCUUCCUUCAUGGUAUAGAUUCAUGAAGAAGCUAAAUAGCAUGAAUCCUUUACGUUGACAACUGUGAAUUUAAAUCUCCUGUGAAUCCUAUGUGACAACCACACAUACCAACAUGAUUUAUUAGUAUUAUAUCAAUAUUUUUAGUCCUACUGUCUUUCAACUAAAAAUGUCACUAUACAAUGGUACAUGAAGUCAAGACACAAAAUCAGGGCAAAUACAAAAUAUUCCAUCCUUUGAGAAAGGGAGCUAAAAAAUAAUGUGCUUUGCCUAUUGCAUUUUUAUGUAUUAGAUCCUUAAGUAUUUUAUUCACCACACCCAACUGAAUGGUUCACAAAAGUUUCAGAGAGGAAAGGAUUAUUUCUCUUUAACAAUAAGGAGUUCAACUGCUCUCAAAGCAAAUACCAGACGGUAAUCACCAUGAUGGACAAAGUUGAUUAUUCAUAUUUAUAUUACUCAUUCGUUAGCUUGCCAAAGGUUCUAGAUCUGUUACCACAUUUUUUAAAAAUAAUAUUCACAUGUGAAAGUGAAAGUGGCUCAGUGGUGCCUGACUCUUUGUGACGCCAUGGACUAUAGAGUCCAUGGCAUUCUCUAGGCCAGAAUACUGGAGUGGGUUGCCUGUCCCUUCUCCAGGGAAUCUUCCUGACCCAGGAAUGAAACCGGAGUCUCCUGCAUUCAGAAAAAUCAUGUCCUUUGAAUUUUCAUUUUAUUAUAUAGGAUCACGGCAAUGUGAUUACAUAAAAUUGUUUAGUUUCCUUUACGUUUC
ensembl:lncRNA